rnacentral:misc_RNA from 1 species
UUCGUUUUUUAAUAAAAACUAGGAUGAAAGGUUAUACAUUCAAAUUUCUUUAUUAAUUUCUAAUUAAUAAUUUAUAUUAAAUAUAAAAAUAUACUUAUAAAAAAAAAAGACGACAAGACCCUAUUAAAUUUUACUUAUAGUUUAACUGGGGAAGUUUUUUAAUUAAAAUUUUUUAAAUUUAAUAAAUAAAAAUCUAAUAAAAUUAAAACUUUAACAAAUUACUAUAGGGAUAACAGCAUUAUAUUUUUUAAAAGUUCAUAUUAAAAAAAAUGAUUGUGACCUCGAUGUUGAAUUAUAUUUUCUAUAUUUAAUGCAAUAAUUAUAAAAGUAGAUCUGUUCGAUCUUUAAAAUAUUACAUGAUUUGAGUUCAAACCGGUGUAAACCAGGUUGGUUUCUAUCUUUUUAUAUAUUUUUCCAGUACGAAAGGACAAACAAAUUUUUAUUUUAAUAAAUUAGCAAAUAAAUGCAUUAGAUUUAGAAUCUAAAUAUAUUUAAUAAU